rnacentral:rRNA from 1 species
AACGAACGCUGGCGGCAUGCCUAACACAUGCAAGUCGAACGAGACCUUCGUGUCUAGUGGCGCACGGGUGCGUAACGCGUGGGAACCUGCCCUUAGGUUCGGAAUAACUCCCCGAAAGGGGUGCUAAUACAGGAUAAUGUCUUCGGACCAAAGAUUUGUCGCCUUUGGAUGGGCCCGCGUUGGUUUAGCUAGUUGGUAGGGUAAAAGCCUACCAAGGCGACGAUCCAUAGCUGGUCUGAGAGGAUGGUCAGCCACACUGGGACUGAGACACGGCCCAGACUCCUACGGGAGGCAGCAGUGGGGGAUAUUGGACAAUGGGCGAAAGCCUGAUCCAGCAAUGCCGCGUGAGUGAUGAAGGCCUUAGGGUUGUAAAGCUCUUUUACCCGGGAUGAUAAUGACAGUACCGGGAGAAUAAGCUCCGGCUAACUCCGUG